CAGUGCGUCCAGGCUGGGCUAGGCAGCGCGGGUCAGAGCAGCAGAAAGGAAGUGUGGAUUGAGGGGUUUAUCCUAUCUCCCUGGCGGAGGCAGGGGCUGAGGAGGAGGGGGGGGGUAAGCAGGAUUAUAAGUGCCGGCGGAGGGGCCGGUAGGAGGUGUGUGAACAUUGUGACGGUUCAGAGGGAGAGCCGUGAGACUGGACGCCUUCUGAGGAAACACAUAAAGAGCAGGCCUGAGAGGAACACAUGCUGCUCACCUCUAGAUAUGGGAGAGAGGUGUCAGACAGUAAUGGUCCGACCAGGAUCCAGCUCCACUGUGUGUGUCUGCAGUGUCCUCCAGUCCAGUGGUCUCCAGUGGCGCCUGGGUCCCCGCAGCCCGCAGCCCAGGCAGCAGCUGGAGCCCCCAGACCUGUAGAGGCUGGUUCUGGACCGGCCCAAACACGUCGCUGUCAGUGGGCCCUCUCUGCCUGGAUGUGCUUGGGACCCUGUGUGCGUGUGUGAGUGUGUGUGUUUGUGUGUGUGCGUGUGUACGUGUGUGUGUGUGUGUGUGUGUGUGUGUGUGUGUGUGUGUGUGUGUGUGUGUGUGUGUGUGUGUGUGUGUGUGUGUGUGUGUGUGUGUGUGUGUGUGUGUGUGUGUGUGUGUGUGUGUGUGUGUGUGUGUGUGUGUGUGUGUGUGUGUGUGUGUUUGUGUAUUUGUCUGAGUGUGUGUGUUUGUGUAUAUAUGUGCGUGUGUGGGGUGGGGGAACCAAUCAGCACCAACCAGUGAUAAACUAUGUAUACACUGUAUAUGUCUUACACUGUAAAUAUAAACCAUAUUAUUUACUUCUUUAUCAC
ensembl:lncRNA